AUAUUGGCAAGAACCACAGCACUACCCAAAGGUGACAGCAGUGGGAUUAUAGCCAAGAUUAUUUUCCUGGUACUUCUUGUCUCAUUGUCACUGGUCGUUGCACUUAUCUUGAUUGAACUACAAGGCAAGCAGGCAGGUAUAAAGGAAACUGUGUCUGUGGUGCAUGAAACAAAAGAAGA